rnacentral:rRNA from 1 species
UACGAAGGGGGGCUAGCGUUGUUCGGAAUUACUGGGCGUAAAGCGCACGUAGGCGGGCGAUUAAGUCAGGGGUGAAAUCCCGGAGCUCAACUCCGGAACUGCCUUUGAUACUGGUCGUCUAGAGAUCGGAAGAGGUGAGUGGAAUUCCCAGUGUAGAGGUGAAAUUCGUAGAUAUUGGGAAGAACACCAGUGGCGAAGGCGGCUCACUGGUCCGAUACUGACGCUGAGGUGCGAAAGCGUGGGGAGCAAACAGG